CGCUGCUUCAUUCGCCCGAUACCGAAUGCCUAUCGCCCGUCUCUGUCUCCUUUGUCGCUGCUGCAAUCGCCUAUUGCCAAUCUCUAUCCAUCUCCUUUUGUCUCUCAUCCCGUAAAUUAGUAACUCCGCCGAUCCCAUCGAUCGGUUUUUUCUUUUGCUCGAAGUAAAGCGGCGAGAAGAAAGAGGACGGGUUUUUAUUGGAUCUUCUCGCCUGUUUUCAUCGUUCCGGAUCAUUGGACACAUCCGAACAAUUUGGAGAUGUCAGUGAGCUACAAAUAUUGGGAUGAUUGUGUGGAUCCGGAGGAGAUGCAAUUGUUGUGGAAGGACGCGGAUGUGUGCAAGGAAUGGAUCGAUGCGGGAGAAAAGAUGGGGAAGAAGGUUCUCCUCUCACGAGAUCCUGAGGGACAGCUGUAUCUCACGCAAACAGAAAUGAGGGCUGUUGCUGAAAUUGUUGUCCAUCUGCACUUCAAUUCACAAUUGGCAUCGGAUAUGAUAUGUGCUCUUGCUGAAAUUGUCAGUGACAGACAACUUCAGGCAGAGUAUUAUGAUCGAAAGACAAAGCAGGCUAGAAUUGGCAUAAUGCAGAUAGCUCCAGAAAAUGCAGAAUGGCUUGUCAGGGAAAUGGGCUACCGGAACUAUGAAAUAGAGGGAAUGUCAACAUUGCUAUUCAGGCCAUUUGUGAACGUCUACUUUGGAGCAGCUUAUCUAAAGUGGCUAUCCUAUUGUGAUGGAAAAGAAAGGACUGAAGAGUUUGUCAUUAGAGCUUACAAAGGGGGUAUCAAGAAGGCUACUCAUAAGUCAACAGCUGACUUUUUCCAGCGUUAUCUAUCCAUCAAACAGAGUUUGCUCCCCAAGAGGGAAGAGGAGAUAUCUGAUGCUUUGCAUACUGCUAGACCAAUUUCUGUGACUUCAGGAUCAGGUGAAGGGUGGACAUACUGGGACUAUAGAGUAUCAUCAGAAGACAUGGAAGUGCUUUGGAGGCAUCCUGAAGUUCUAAAAGAGUGGACAAGAUCUGGUGAGAGACGUGGGAGAGUACGCUUCUCUCAUGAUUCAGAGAAGAGACCUUAUCUUUCUCGAGUUGAAGUUAAGGCUGUUGCUGAACUAAUUAUUUCGCGAUACUUCAGUAAAAGAGGAAUAAAACCAACAGCUCUAGCUGCUCUUGCUGAAGUAUGUAGCAUGCGAUUUGUUAAUGGUGUUCGUGCACGUACAGGAUUAAUGGGAAUUGAUUAUCCUACUGCUGCCUGGCUAUACAAGGAUGUUGGCUGUCGGGCAUAUAAAGUUAUGUCUGUUGAUGAUCUCUAUAAUCCUUUGGUGUCCAUGUACUUUGGUGCAUCUUAUUUGGCCUGGCUUUCGCAGUAUGAAGGGAGAGAAAGAAGCUAUCAGUUCAUCGUGCAGGCCUAUCUGUGUGGGCCAGAGAAUGUAAAUCUUCAGGAGACAGGCCCAUUUUGGAAUAGAUUCCAGCAGGCCUUAUGCUACUAUGAAGAUCCAAAAAAGUGUAUAUUACUGUUUCACAACACGGUUUGUAUUACUAGUCAGGAUUUUGUUUACAAUUCUGGCUGACAUAUCUUCAGGGACCAAGGGAGCUGCUGCGUACUAUGAAACAUUAAAACUAUCUCUCAGUAUCUUCUUGUACAUCUAUUACUGCAAAACAUAUAUUCAUUAAAAGCUUUGAACAUCAGACAAGCAUAUAUUAGAUACAUGCAGGAUUAGAUGACACUUGCGACUAUAAUAGCAAGGUCGAUGAUCUCUGCAUCAACUGGUAAUUAAUGUAAGGGUGCUGGAUUCCUAAAUUAUAUGAUUUCGGAUGCUGUCUCAUACAGAAAAAAUAUGUUUUGGUUACCUACCUCACUGUCGAUGGACUACUAUUGAAGAAAUUGGUUUUUUGGUUGUCGGUGCCAAUUCAUUUGGCUCUUUAACUCAUAAACUUCAUUGGAAAUCAGGCCACACUGGCCGUUGCUUAAUGUUCCUUUUCCUUUCUUCAAGUGCUGCUGUAAUUAUGUGUGGAAAUAUUUCCAAUACAUGACAGAUUAAUACUCGUCCACAUGACUCAGCCGUA